rnacentral:rRNA from 1 species
GAUGAACGCUGGCGGCGUGCCUAAUACAUGCAAGUCGAGCGAACAGACGAGGAGCUUGCUCCUCUGACGUUAGCGGCGGACGGGUGAGUAACACGUGGAUAACCUACCUAUAAGACUGGGAUAACUUCGGGAAACCGGAUCUAAUACCGGAUAAUAUAUUGAACCGCAUGGUUCAAUAGUGAAAGACGGUUUUGCUGUCACUUAUAGAUGGUUCUCGGCCGCAUUAGAUAGUUGGUAAGGUAACGGCUUACCAAGGCAAGGAUGCGUAGCCGACCGGAGAGGGUGAUAGGCCACCCGGGAAGUGAGACGCGGUCAAGACUCCUACGGGAGGCAGCAGUAGGGAAUCUUACGCAGUGGGCGAAAGCCUGACGGAGCAACGGCGCGUGAGUGAUGAAGGUCUUCGGAUCGUAAAACUCUGUUAUUAGGGAAGAACAAAUGUGUAAGUAAAUAUGCACGUCUUGACGGUACCUAAUCAGAAAGCCACGGCUAACUACGUG